CGGAAAGAAAACGGUUUGAAUCAGUUGACAGGACAGAGAAAAGAAAGAGCAAGAAAAGUUGUAAAAGUAAGUUGUAACGUGAAUUUAUUAUCUCGAGAAAAUAUGAGCGAAUUGCUAUAUUUUACAGACAAUAGUUUCGCUGCGCUGAAACAAAAAAUAUUCGCCGGAAGAACAAACUUUGUUCGCUUUUGCUCGUCGCCGCCAAGACGUUAGCACGGUGGGGAGCUAGCCUAACCAAGCUAACGGAAGGAGGAAGGACCGGGAGAAAUGUUUACCGACCGGUGUGACCAAGCUAACAGCUGAACAACGGCGUCUUUCUUCGGCAAGGCUGGAAAACAGAGGACUCAGAUCACUGUAACCUAAAGGAGCACUUCACCUCCAAAAUGGUAUCAACUUGUUUGCGUCAUUGAUCGGUUUUCGCGAUCGGUCUCCAGUGUUGACGUUCUGUGAUUUUUACGCCCACCAUCCACCUCCCUGCAAUUGCUGUGUGGUAUAACAACGUGAAGGAGAGGAGGCGCGCACACCAGUGUUGGACAGGUGCCGACCACAACAAAAGUACAGAUCAGUGUGGCUGCGCCCUUCAGCUCCUGCCUGCACUUACUUUGCUAAAUAGAGGAGUUGUGAGUAAUCUCCACCUAACGUUUGACAGGUCACAUGCCAGGAACCAAUGGACUCUGGGCUGAGUGCCACGAAGAGGGUAAGCAAAUCAGAGAGUAUUGAGAGAUAGACUAACAUUGUUGGUUUUGGUCUUUUUAUGGGAUUUGGUGACAGUAAGAGAAAUAUAGAAUACCACCAACCUUAAACACAUCUCAUCAUUUUAAAGAAUUUUAUAAAUACAACAUAGUGAAAAUAGCAUCAUGUGGUUGGCGAGUAAGCACCAGUUCAGUUUCGGAGUGUUUUAAACAAAGCGGUCCUUAGCUUUUUGGGGACCUUAAGCAUGCAGUGACAACAAAGCUAUUAAUAUUUUAUUGACGACAGUCUUGAUUUAAAAAGUAAUACUUUCUACAAAUGUAUUCUUCUUUGUAGGGCUGUCAACUUUAGUUGUUUAGUCGACUAAUCGGUCGAUGCCGUUUUGGUCGACUGACAUUCUCAUUGGUCGACCAGUUGCAAAUUUUUUUUUUUUUUUUAACCAAUAAAGAAAUUUUCAUUGAUUUACUCCUUGAUAUUUAUUCCUUUAUUAGCAGUUAUAUAUUACUGUAUUCUAAAUAUAAUAAGCCUAUGUUUUAUACCAAACUUUAAAUGCUUUAAUUUAGGCUAUUUUAUAACGGCGCCACAGUUUAGCGCACCACAUGAGCACUCGGGAACCGCACCUGUGGCUGGCUGCACUGCUGCUUCGCGCUCAGUAAGGAAUAUAAGUAGUUUUGCUGUAUUCAUUCAGUUAGAACGCUACUUGUUUUGGGCUUUAGUCGAAAAGAUGUCCAAGAAAUCUAAAUCUUUUGUUUGGCUGCAUUUUACAAAAAAAGACGACAAGACUGUGGAGUGCAAGCUAUGUGGCCUAAAGCUAACUCAACCACCAAUAUGACCUAUCACCUAAAAGUGGUAAGCGAGAUAUAAAUGUGUCAGACAGCUUUGGACAUGACAACAGAGCAGUGGAAUAUGGCUGAAGACAUCACAGACGUUCUUAAGCCCUGACAACCGAGCUGUUGUCGGAGGAGGCUAACACAUCCCUGUCAGCGGCCUUCCCAAUGCUUGAGAAUCUAAAAAAAUGUCAUCUUGCCAUCACAGAUAACGAUAGUCCAACAAAGAAGAAGUUGAAACUUAAGCUUGUGCAGGAAAUAGAUAGUCGAUGGAAACUCAAAGACCGAGUUGUGAUGACAAGCAGCCUGUACAUUUUAACUGCAGUACUGGACCCGCGCUUCAAACAGCUACCUUUUCUUAAUGAUGAGAAACGGGAUGAGGCCUAUUCUGAAGUCGUAAAACUAGCACAAAGGCUAAGCCUCUCGGGAGACAGCGCAGAGCAGACAGGGGAUGAUGAGGACCCGUUGGCAAAAAAACAGAAAACGGCAAAAGAGAAGGAGAUAGCGAUGCUUCUUUGUGGACAUGGUGCAGAGGAUGAUCCUGAUGAGCCAAGCGCACAAAGAUCCUCUUGCGACGAAAUGAAAGAUUAUCUUCAGGACAGAAGUAAAGUGGACACUGCUGGGCCACUUGCGUGGUGGAAAAAUAAUGAGGAGAGAUAUCCACGACUUGCUCGGGCAGCCAAACGCCUGCUCUGCAUCCCUGCAACCUCCACUCCUGCAGAGCGCAUAUUUUCCAAAGCAGGAUUUAUUGUUAACAAGUCGAGGAGCUGUCUUUUACCCAAGAAUGUGGACAUGUUAGUGUUUUUGGCCCACAACAUAAAGGUGGACUAGGCCUGCAGAUCUGUAAGUAGCCUUAACGGCUUUAUUAUGCUGACUCAAUAGAUUUUGACUCAAUUUAUUUGUACACUUGACGCGUUUGAAAAUAGCCUAUAUAAUGUAACAAAACGAAAAAAAUCUAUAGGCCUUCCUACUAUACAGCCUAUUAUUAUUAGUGUUUUUUUAGGCUAUUUUGGGUUUGUGUUUGUUUUAAAACGCCUAGAUCGGUUGGACAAAAGUUAACCCAUAGCUUUGAAAGUAAAGAAGAAUAUACAGCCUGUAUAAUUGAGAGUUUUUGUUAGGAUUUUUCAUUAUUUGGCAGUUUUAGCAGUUAUAUUUUUUGUAGCGUGUGGUGUGGUCAGGUGCACGAUUGUGACGGUCACUAUAGACCUAGGACAGAACUCCUCACUUUGCAGUUUAAAAAAUAACCUAAUUUUCAAAGAAUUGUGUUAUUAUUAUACUUUUAUGUAUUAUUGAUGUUUUUCGUUGUUGUUUUAUAAAUGCUCUAUUAUAAUUGUUUAAUAAAUGUUCAAUCAAAAAAAGACAUUGCGUCUUUUUUUUUUUUUUAGUCGACUGAUCGUUGCGCAGGACAGGACUUUGGUCGACUAAGCAUUUCUUUGGUUGACUACAGCCCUACUUCAUUGGAACAAAACAGAAUCUUAGAUUAGUGCUCUUAAGUUCUCUGUUUGGUUUUCUCUUUCUUUCUCCAGCAUCAUAAUAUUACCCUCUUGGCAUUUGAUAGCCAUCAAUCACUUCAUGAUGGCUGACAGUUUAAUGGGGCUCUGUGAUUGGAUGCUUCAUCACCAAGUAAAUAAUAAUGAUGGUGAUAGAAGACCCAUCUAAGUCUAUUUUUUCGAAUUUUGACCAUCUCAAACACAGGACAAUCACCUGAUCUGCCCACAGAACCUGUCAAGUGUGGUCAAGAGCGGUAAAGGAUUUCUAUUCAGUGCCAGGGUCACAGGGCGAACUAAAAGCAAAGUGUAGAGGAUUCAGCCACCGUCCCCUUUAACCACGGGCCAGAUAACAAGUGAAGAACUACAGGAAUGUGUACUUUAUUCUAUGUGAAAAGGUCAAGCAGAUGAAUAACUUGCCAGGCGGGCGUUGCCUGGGGAGUGACGGCAUGACAAACGCCUGAUCUGCCUCUCUUCAUCUGUCUUGAGAACAUAGCAGUGGAUGUAUGAGUCACGGCUCAGCUGUAUUGAUCUGUUACAUGAAAAAAAUUGCUGCACACAAAAGGAGAGAGAGAAGGAAUGUGAGAAAGGAAAGGAGGACAAAGAGAAAGAAAUUGAGUGAGCGUGAUCGAAGAAGAAUGAGACAGAUAGACUAGAGGGAAGAAUAAAUAAAGAGAAAGGUGAAGAACGAGGGAAAGACGAGUGCAAAAGUGGAAAAAGAGACAGAAAGACGGGCAGAGGUGAAAAAGAAUGAAACAGGGCAAGAACAUUCGUAUCCUAAACCCCUCUUACUUUUUUGUAUGAGGUUUGGUGGUACAAGUGUUCCAUGUCAGAUUCAGCAAACACUCCUAAUUGUACAAACUUGUAACCUGUUUACAGGUGUGUGUUCACUAGCAAACUACCUCCCCCAAAUUGAUAUCUAAAGCUUCCUGUUCACUCUGUGGUUUUGUUUCAGGAGGUUUAAGUCCUGCAAUCCAUGCAUACACCAUUUCCCAUUUAUAAAAGGAACGUGUGGUGAGAAUGUGCACACCUCACAGUCGCAUUUAUAAACUUAACUUUGAUUAAUUACUUAGUGUGAUCAAUUUUUAUCUCUUUAUUUACACCGGAUGUAUUAAUUUCAAUUGGCAAGCAAAUCUCACUUAACAAAUUAUCGGUUCAUAUGAGGGGUUCUUGCAUGAGGCCCAAUGAGUGUGAUUUAGAAAAGGAGAGACUGCAAAGGAAAAGUAGAGGGAGAGAAAACAAAAGGAGAAACAGAAAAACCGUGAAAAGGGGAGGGUAUUACAGAAUAUAGAAUCAGUAGUGUAGACUAUAGACAGUCAUACCGGAAAAACAAGGAGAGAGAAAGAUGGAAGGAGAGAGAAGCAAUCACAGAAAGAAAGUGGAAAAUAAAGACAUGCUGAGAGAUGAAACAGAAAUCACUUUAUUUCCUGAUGUUAUCGCGUCCAAUUGGCCUCGUCUAUGUUUCAUCUUCCAGAAUUUAAUCAGCGACUCUACAGUUUGGUGUUUCCCUUGACGCACCACCCCGCAAGACUAUUAAAUACUUGUCUACAAUGACCUUGAAUGACUGAAUCAUUCAAUUCAAUGGAGCUUCAUUGGCAUGGGAAACGGUUGUUAACAUUGCCAAAGCAAGUUCAUUCAGCCUAUCCUGACAUUUUGUAUUACUGUGUGGCUGUGCAGCAUAACAAAAAUACCAGGAUGAUUUUGUUUAUGGUUCAUUGAUGUUUUUUUCCUUCAGUGUGGUUGACAUUUUCCCUAACGAGUGAUUUCGCAAUGAGUGUUGGAAUUAGAUUAUGUUCAACACUAACUUGAAAUGAACUGCUACUAACUAACUGCUAACAAAGACGCCUUCAAUAAAAAUACAUACAUGUGACCGUACAGUUGUCUCGUGUCUCAAUUACAGAAGAUAUAUUCCCUCUGUGUUUUCAGUGCACUGUAAGUUCACACUGGAGAAAUUACAAAAUUAAGUAUUCUUUAAAAUGUCAGUAUACACACUGAAAUCACUCAAUAUUAUAGGUAUUGAUGGCCGCUAUGAUACCAUUAAAAAAAAUCUACUCAUAGCUGGAACAAAGUGAGAAAAUUCACAGUUUGAUUAAUCAUCAUCCUAAA